rnacentral:rRNA from 1 species
UACGGGGGGGGCAAGCGUUGUUCGGAAUUACUGGGCGUAAAGGGCUCGUAGGCGGCCAACUAAGUCGGAUGUGAAAUCCCCAGGCUCAACCUGGGAACUGCAUCCGAUACUGGAUGGCUUGAAUCCGGGAGAGGGAUGCAGAAUUCCAGGUGUAGCGGUGAAAUGCGCAGAUAUCGGGAAGAACACCCGUGGCGAAGGCGGCUCUCUGGGACGGUACUGACGCUGAGACGCGAAAGCGUGGGGAGCGAACAGG